GCCAGACUCCUACGGGAGGCAGCAGUGGGGAAUAUUGCACAAUGGGGGAAACCCUGAUGCAGCGACGCCGCGUGAGCGAGGAAGUAUUUCGGUAUGUAAAGCUCUAUCAGCAGGGACGAAAAAAGACGGUACCUGACUAAGAAGCCCCGGCUAACUACGUGCCAGCAGCCGCGGUAAUACGUAGGGGGCAAGCGUUAUCCGGAUUUACUGGGUGUAAAGGGAGCGUAGACGGCAAGGCAAGCCAGAAGUGAAAGGGCAGGGCUCAACCCUGUACAUGCUUUUGGAACUGUGGUGCUAGAGUGCGGGAGAGGUAAGUGGAAUUCCUAGUGUAGCGGUGAAAUGCGUAGAUAUUAGGAGGAACACCAGUGGCGAAGGCGGCUUACUGGACUGUAACUGACGUUGAGGCUCGAAAGCGUGGGGAGCAAACAGGAUUAGAUACCCCGGUAAG
rnacentral:rRNA from 1 species